rnacentral:tRNA from 1 species
UACAUUUAAGUAUAAGAGGUACAGGAAUUUUUGAAAUUUCUAGGGAUAGUUUGAUUCUAUCAAAUGUAA